AUUGAGCGCUGGCGGCAGGCUUAACACAUGCAAGUCGAGCGGGGUGAUGGUGCUUGCACUAUCACUUAGCGGCGGACGGGUGAGUAAUGCUUAGGAAUCUGCCUAUUAGUGGGGGACAACAUCUCGAAAGGGAUGCUAAUACCGCAUACGUCCUACGGGAGAAAGCAGGGGAUCACUUGUGACCUUGCGCUAAUAGAUGAGCCUAAGUCGGAUUAGCUAGUUGGUGGGGUAAAGGCCUACCAAGGCGACGAUCUGUAGCGGGUCUGAGAGGAUGAUCCGCCACACUGGGACUGAGACACGGGCCAGAAUCCUACGGGAGGCAGCAGUGGGGAAUAUUGGACAAUGGGGGGAACCCUGAUCCAGCCAUGCCGCGUGUGUGAAGAAGGCCUUAUGGUUGUAAAGCACUUUAAGCGAGGAGGAGGCUCUUUUGGUUAAUACCCAAGAUGAGUGGACGUUACUCGCAGAAUAAGCACCGGCUAACUCUGUGCCAGCCGCCGCCGUAA
rnacentral:rRNA from 1 species